CCUAGAAGAGGAAUCAUUAUUACCAUUGUUUUGUUUUCAAGCUGGUAGCAUAGAAUGAUUUAGAUUUUAAAUCUAAUCAAUAUUUUGAAGGUUUGAAUAUGAAAUGCAAUCGAUAAAUGCAGUUUAAAUGAGAAUUGAUGUGCUUCGUAUCUCAGAUAAUUAUCUCGUACGGUUCACGGAAACGAGCGUCCUAUGCCAGACGACAUGAAUAUUGACACCACAGUACUGGAAACGGAGAGUAAUACAGCUCUUGGAGAUAUAUAAAUCAGGUAUAUAAUUCACAAACACGUUCUAAAGGCAUGUGUACAGUAGUAAAUUAUAAUAUACCAAUCCCAGAACAAAGGCGGUCUUCAUGAAAAACUUGACAGCCCGAAAAUUUGAAAAACCUGUCAAUGUCAUAACACCAAAAUUUUAAAUUUCUUAAAUUUAAACAGUUAAAUCAUUUGAUAUACAUGAUAUACCUAUAUUUAGUAUGUGAGUUGUGUGUCCUUUUUCAUUAAAAUGUUACUGUCACAACAACAUUUAUACGUGUCUGGGCGGUAUGAUUUUUAUGAGUGUAUCAUGAAGACCAAUAAUGAUAAUGAUCACAAAAAUACACAGGCACUUGUUUUUGUCAAUAUGGGGUUUACUAUCCACCUCCUUACGAAAAAUCGCUUCGUACGGUGUGAUAGUAAACCCCACAUUGACAGAAUAAGUGCCUGUGCAAUUUUUAAAAGAAAAUUUACACGGCACACGCUCUUGUUUUGUCAUGUGGGGUUUACUCUCCACACCCGAAGAAAUAUUACAAGGUUCAUGUAGCUAAACUGAUCUAUCCUUGCUUGUCAUAAACUAAAGCCAUGCAGAUACUUUGGAAGUCAAUGAAGAUACAUGUAUAACAGAUAUCAUAUUUUAUCUCACAACCCAUUUGCAUGUUGACAAUAGUCCGCAACCUCAAUCGUAAAAGCAAAAACAAAAUUAAAGUACAUGAAGGAAAAUACAUGGAGGAAGAUACACAUAGGGCGUAAUCAUGGCAAUAUGCACCAAUGAGAAGAGUUGUGCCAUAAGGCCAUAAGAUUAAGGAUUGAGGAAGGUAGCUAAACUGAUCUGCCUUACUAAGACAUUUAGGGCAAAUCUUUCAAGAUUUAAAUGUCCAUCAGAAUAUAAUUUAUCCCCUCACAAAUUUUCAGAUGAAUCUGACAACUCGUUGUUGGGUUGCUGCCCUAAAAUUGGUAAUUUUAAGGAAAUUUUUCAGUUUUUGGUUAUUAUCUUGAAUACUAUUAUAGAUAGAGAUAAACUGUAAACAGCAAUUUUGUUCAGCAAGGUAGGAUCUACAAAUAGGUUAACAUGAUUAAAAUUGUAAGAGUACCCCUUAAGGAGUUAUUGCCCUUUAUAGUCAAUUUUGAACAACUUUUAGUCAUUUUUGUAACUUGUACAAAAUCUUCUUUUCUAAAACUAUGGCCAUAAUAAACUAAACGUGGCCACAUCAUUCUAUGUAUCUAUUUAAAAAAAAGUGUCUAAUGACCCCACCUACCAACCAAGAUGACUGACAUCAGUAAAUACAGUAACAGGUGAGCGACACAGGCUCUCGAGAGCCUCUAGUUAGUCUAGUUAAUUCUAGCAGUGGGGUUGGGGUCGAGCUGGGUGACCUCCUUACUUAAUUGAUAGGGUGUGCUGCUGUGGUUUUGUUACCCCCAACUUUUUUAUAUAAAUGAGCCUUAUAAAAAAUGUAGACCUUUUCAUAUUUUACGUAGGCAAUGCUAGGGAAAAAUGUUACUUUUCCCAUAUUGACUUUUAUUAUUGUUUGUGUUUUGGUGUGAAUCAGAAUGUAAAAAAAGUGGAGUGCCAAAGGAGUGCAAGUUAGUUGAUAAAAACACAGCUUGACUUUCUUUUGAAAGAAAAUUUAUACCAAAGACACUACAACUUUGUAUAAUCUCUGUAAAAAGAUAUCUUGAUGCCACUUUUGAAAAUCCUGGAUCCCCUUUUUCCAAAAUAAAAUAUACAUAUACUUCAGAAGUUUAAAAGAGAACUAAAUGUUUAUGUUAUAUAAAUGUGUUUCUCUUUUUUUUUUAAACAGGUUAGGCCGUUGUUUUCCUGUUGGAAUGGUUUUACACUAGUAAUUUUGGGGCCCUUUAUAGCUUGUUGUUCGGUGUGAGCCAAGGCUCCGUGUUGAAGGCCGUACAUUGCCCUAUAAUGGUUUACUUUUUUAAUUUUUUUUUUAAAUUGUUAUUUGGAUAUGUGUUUCUCUUUUUUUUUAAACAGAUUAGGCCGUUGGUUUUUUCCUGUUUGAAUGGUUUUACACUAGUAAUUUUGGGGCCCUUUAUAGCUUGUUGUUCGAUGUGAGCCAAGGCUCCGUGUUGAAGGCCGUACAUUGCCCUAUAAUGGUUUACUUUUUUUUUUUUUUAAAUUGUUAUUUGGAUAGAGAGUUGUCUCAUUGGCACUCACACCACAUCUUCCUAUAUCUAUACAAAGUUAGUUGACUGUGGUAUUAUCAUUGAUUAUGAAAAGAAAAGUAGAGCUAGGUUAUAAGUUUUUUUUUUUUAUUUUGGAAUAUCAUGAAUAAAGCCAGAGGAAUCUGAAUAUCUGGCAAAAAACUCAAAUACAGGAGGCCUUUUUUAUAUUCAACUGCAGGUUAUAAUUUACAAUGUACAUGUAUAACACUGAUCCAUCUGGAUCUAUCUGGAGUGGUAUAUAAACUUCACUUGCCAUGCUUGUCGCAUACUGAACAUUUAACUCCUUUCCUUUAACAAUUUAAUAUACAUGAUUAUGAUGAUACAAACAAUUUAAUAUACAUGAUUAUGAUGAUUCAUGUCAAGAUUGUUCACAGAAUGACACUUGAGUUAUCAGGCAAUUAACUUUCACUGUCCCUUUAUUUAUCACACAAUUUUGGUUGAAAUCAAAUUAUGUUAUGCCCAAAUUGCAACAUGGCUACAGAUGCCUUAAGGUACAUGUAGUCACUGUAAUUUUCCUUUAAAUUUUUUAUCAGACUAUGACAAUAACUGAAAUAUGUUAUAACUGUAAAUGAAAUGCUGAAUAUUUAUGCAUAUUUUUUUUUAUAUGACAGUUAUUAAGCAGGUCUUGAAUGAAGUCUUGAUUAUGGAGGAUCUGUUUGUAAAUUCCUGACAUGAAAAAGAAAAUGACAGAGGGAGAAGUCCAGGUCAAUGUUAGAAGGACAAUUCAGCAAAGUUCCAACAGAUAUGUAUGCACUUAUUCCAUUUUAUUAAAUGUUAUGCAUUUAACAAAAUAGUAUGCUCUAAAAAAAACAACAACAUUCCUUUUGGCUUGCAGCAAAUGUGCAAGGAAAGAAUAUAUUACAUUUGUUACAUUAAUGCUACAUAGGAUACUUAAGUAACUUUGCAACAAAAUGCUCUGAAUUAACUAUUUGCUACUUGUCAAUUGAAGGAUGUCAUGUAAUGCAUACAAAAAAAAUUAUAAACAUGAUAAAUCAAAUGUUCUACAAAAAUGUACUGCCUUCUAUAUUUCAUUCUAUACUUUAAACAUAAUUGAUAUGAAUUGGAGGGCUUGCAAUCGUGCACUCCUAUUGCAGCUGUUUAUUUUAUUUUCAACACACUUGACAUUUAUUGUUUCAAUGAUGUCUUUAUUUCCUCAUACUAAAAAGUAAUUGAGAUAUUGAGUGCCACUUUAAACACCAUGGUGCUAUUUUGUGGCAUCCUGUUUUUAUUAGUGGAGAAAACUAAGACCUUUAUAAGGAACUGACAAUCCUAGUCAAUUAAGUCUCUUAAUUUAAUAUCAAUUAAUAACAAAGGAAUGUAAAAUAAAGAGAGAAGAAAAAAGCAAUUUUUAUAUAUACAGACAAAAAAAUAUUUAAGUCUCGCAGUAUAAAAUCCCUGUGCAAUGAUGCCAAUCUUUAAUGAUAUAAAAUAUUCAUAAUAUCAACAUUACUAAAGAUGAGUAUGUGACAUUUGUUUUUCAGUCAGUAGAAGGAGGCAUACUACAUAUAAUAUGUGUAUUAAAUUGUAUGUUAAUUAACAAUGUAUUUGAAUAUAAUUAUUUUUUUCCAGAAAAUGAAAUCUGAUUUUGAGGCAAAUAUAUAUAUGUAAGAUGAAUAGAAGACAUGAUACUCUAGCAGUGCUUCAGAAUCACACUAUAGAAGUAUGAAGAAUUUUGAUUGUAAUCAAGUUAACCUGAAG
rnacentral:lncRNA from 1 species